UACGAAGGGGGCUAGCGUUGUUCGGAUUUACUGGGCGUAAAGCGCACGUAGGCGGAUUGUUAAGUCGGGGGUGAAAUCCUGGAGCUCAACUCCAGAAUUGCCUUCGAUACUGGCUUUCUAGAGGCUGGAAGAGGUUAGUGGAAUUCCCAGUGUAGAGGUGAAAUUCGUAGAUAUUGGGAGGAACAUCAGUAGCGAAGGCGGCUUUCUGGGUCACACCUGACGCUGAGGUACGAAAGCGUGGGGAGCAAACGGG
rnacentral:rRNA from 1 species